rnacentral:rRNA from 1 species
CCUACGGGUGGCAGCAGUGAGGAAUAUUGGUCAAUGGACGAGAGUCUGAACCAGCCAAGUAGCGUGAAGGAUGACUGCCCUAUGGGUUGUAAACUUCUUUUAUAUGGGAAUAAAACGUUCCACGUGUGGGAUUUUGUAUGUACCAUAUGAAUAAGGAUCGGCUAACUCCGUGCCAGCAGCCGCGGUAAUACGGAGGAUCCGAGCGUUAUCCGGAUUUAUUGGGUUUAAAGGGAGCGUAGGUGGAUUGUUAAGUCAGUUGUGAAAGUUUGCGGCUCAACCGUAAAAUUGCAGUUGAAACUGGCAGUCUUGAGUACAGUAGAGGUGGGCGGAAUUCGAGGUGUAGCGGUGAAAUGCUUAGAUAUCACGAAGAACUCCGAUUGCGAAGGCAGUUCACUGGACUGCAACUGACACUGAGGCUCGAAAGUGUGGGUAUCAAACAGGAUUAGAUACCCCAGUAGUC